rnacentral:rRNA from 1 species
UGGUCAAGUUAUUAAGGGUGCAGGGCGGAUGCCUUGGCACUAGGAGCCGAUGAAGGACGUGAUAAGCUGCGAUAAGCUUCGGGGAGUUGCACGUAAACUUUGAUCCGAAGAUUUCCGAAUGAGGAAACUCACUUAGAGUAAUGUCUAAGUAUCAUUAAGUGAAUACAUAGCUUAAUGAGGGGAACUCAGGGAACUGAAACAUCUAAGUACCUGAAGGAAGAGAAAGAAAUUCGAUUCCGUAAGUAGCGGCGAGCGAACGCGGAUUAGCCCAAACCAAUAAAGUUUUCUUUAUUGGGGUUGCGGACAUAUCAUAACGAAGAGGUAUCGUAAUUGAAGAGGUUUGGAAAGACCCACCACAGAAGGUAAUAGUCCUGUAUGUUAAACGAGAAGACUUUAGAUAUGAUCCAGAGUACCACGGGACACGUGAAACCCUGUGGGAAGCAGGAGGGACCACCCUCCAAGGCUAAAUACUACCUAGUGACCGAUAGCGUAUAGUACCGUGAGGGAAAGGUGAAAAGAACCCCGGGAGGGGAGUGAAAUAGAACCUGAAACCCUGCACUUACAAGCUGUGGAAGCACAUUUCUUGUGUGACCGCGUACUUUUUGUAGAACGGGCCAACGAGUUACGUUAAGUAGCAAGGUUAAGCACUUAAGGUGUGGAGCCGUAGCGAAAGCGAGUUUUAACUGAGCGUUCAGUUACUUGACGUAGACCCGAAACCGGGCGACCUACCCAUGAGCAGGAUGAAGCGAAAGUAAAAUUUCGUGGAGGUCCGAACCCACGAGCGUUGAAAAGCUCGGGGAUGACUUGUGGGUAGCGGUGAAAUUCCAAUCGAGCCCGGAGAUAGCUGGUUCUCCCCGAAAUAGCUUUAGGGCUAGCCUCAAGGUGAGAGAUACGGAGGUAGAGCACUGAAUGUCCUAGGGGGUAUUGCACCUACCGAAGACUAUCAAACUCCGAAUGCCGUCAUCUUAUACUUGGGAGUCAGACUGUGGGUGAUAAGAUUCAUAGUCGAAAGGGCAACAGCCCAGAUCGUCAGCUAAGGUCCCUAAAUGUAAGUUAAGUGGUAAAGGAUGUGGGAUUGCACAGACAACCAGGAUGUUGGCUUAGAAGCAGCCACUCAUUCAAAGAGUGCGUAAUAGCUCACUGGUCGAGUGAUCCUGCGCCGAAGAUUUCCGGGGCUAAAACUUACUACCGAAGCUACGGCAUCAGUAAUGAUGGGUAGGGGAGCUUCCCAUACGGGUUGAAGCAUGACCGUAAGGACAUGUGGACAGUAUGGGAGUGAGAAUGUUGGCAUGAGUAGCGAGAUGUGGGUGAGAAUCCCACAGGCCGUAAACCCAAGGUUUCCAGGGGAAGGUUCGUCCGCCCUGGGUUAGUCGGGACCUAAGCUGAGGCCGAAAGGCGUAGGUGAUGGACAACAGGUUGAUAUUCCUGUACUACCGAUAACCGUUUGAGAGAAGGGAUGACACAGUAGGAUAAGCUAAGCACACUGUUGGUUAUGUGUGCCCAAGCAUUGAGGCAGUCAAAGUAGGCAAAUCCGCUUUGAUAAUGCUGGGAUGUGAUGGGGAGCGAAAUUUAGUAGCGAAGUAGCUGAUUUCACACUGUCAAGAAAAGUCUCUAUCGAGGUUAAAGGUACCCGUACCGCAAACCGACACAGGUGGGUGAGGAGAGUAUCCUAAGGCCAGCGAGAGAACUGUUGUUAAGGAACUCGGCAAAAUGACCCCGUAACUUAGGGAUAAGGGGUGCCACCAUCAGGUGGCCGCAGAGAAUAGGCCCAAGCGACUGUUUACCAAAAACAUAGGUUUCUGCUAAGUCGCAAGACGAUGUAUAGGAGCUGACGCCUGCCCGGUGCUGGAAGGUUAAGGGGAUCUGUUAGAGCAAUCGAAGCAGUGAACUUAAGCCCCAGUAAACGGCGGCCGUAACUAUAACGGUCCUAAGGUAGCGAAAUUCCUUGUCGGGUAAGUUCCGACCCGCACGAAAGGCGUAACGAUUUGGGCACUGUCUCAACAACAGACUCGGUGAAAUUGUAAUUCCGGUGAAGAUGCCGGAUACCUGCGACAGGACGGAAAGACCCCAUGGAGCUUUACUGUAGCUUGACAUUGGGUCUUGGUACUACAUGUACAGGAUAGGUGGGAGGCUUUGAAACCAGGACGCCAGUUUUGGCGGAGCCAUCCUUGGGAUACCACCCUUGUAGUACUGGGACUCUAACCAUAGGCCAUGAAUCUGGUCUUGGGACACUGUCAGGUGGGCAGUUUGACUGGGGCGGUCGCCUCCCAAAAGGUAACGGAGGCGCUCAAAGGUUCUCUCAGUACGGUCGGAAAUCGUACGUAGAGUGUAAAGGCAAAAGAGAGCUUGAUUGCAAGACAUACAGGUCGAGCAAGGAUGAAAAUCGGACUUAGUGAUCCGGUGGUUCUGCGUGGAAGGGCCAUCGCUCAACGGAUAAAAGCUACCCUGGGGAUAACAGGCUUAUCUCCCCCAAGAGUCCACAUCGACGGGGAGGUUUGGCACCUCGAUGUCGGCUCAUCACAUCCUGGGGCUGUAGUAGGUCCCAAGGGUUGGGCUGUUCGCCCAUUAAAGUGGUACGCGAGCUGGGUUCAGAACGUCGUGAGACAGUUCGGUCCCUAUCCGUCGCAGGCGUAGGAAAUUUGAGAAGACCUGUCCUUAGUACGAGAGGACCGGGAUGGACAUACCUCUGGUGUACCAGUUGUCCUGCCAAGGGCAUGGCUGGGUAGCUAUGUACGGAAUGGAUAAGCGCUGAAAGCAUCUAAGCGCGAAGCCAACUUCAAGAUAAGAUUUCCCACCGCAAGGGUAAGACCCCAGAAAGACUAUCUGGUUGAUAGGUCGAAGGUGUAAGUGCAGCAAUGUAUUUAGCUUAUCGAUACUAAUAGGUCGAGGACUUGACCAA